CCCGGCCCCCAGCGCCCGCUGCUCCACGGCUUUUCCCUCAGGCAGCAAGGGCCGCCUGAAAUGAUUUAAAUGGAAAUUAUCCCCGUACUGUGGAGCUGGUCAAGUGCCGGCGGCGCGGGUUUGCCCGGAGAGGUUGUGGUGUCUCUGCCAAUGGAGCUGCUGAUAGAGAUGUUUGCUGACCCUCAAGCUAGCACAGAACAGCCUAGUGCUGGUACUGGAAGCAGAGGUCGGGCUGUGCUGCCUCUGGAGCCAGGAUCUUGGCAUCUGUGUCUGACGCUGUGACUGCCAUGGUGACGUACAAAGAUACUCUGGCCCAGCUCAGGUAUCUGUGACUGGCAAGACAUGGCAAUCUCCUCUCCAGGGACAUGCCCCAGCCAUGUCCUGAGGGGCAAGUCUGCUUCCAGGACCCCAUGUGCCAUGGAUGGGGAGCCUCUUCAUACAGCUGAGGGAUGAAAAAUGUCAUCUGCUCCAUUGCCUUCCUGAUCUGAACAGUAGGAGCAUCAGGCUUUGGGAUGCAUCCUGAGUUACCAGCCAGAAAAUUACAGAGCUAUCCACAGAAACGAAACAGAACCAUUCAAAUAGAAAAAUUAUCCUGAAAUAACACAUUUGACAUAUAUUUUUCAUCUGGGUCCCUACCAUCUAGCAGGCCUCUCUUCCGGAAAUCCAACAGGGUCCCAUGCUUCUUUUAUUCCUUCCUAAGCAUCCUCUCUGUAUUCUUAAUUUCUGUGUUUUGACUCCUAGUCUUUCAUCCAUAUAAUCAAAACCACCCUGAAGGAGCACCUAGUCAAGUGUGUCCUCAUUACCUGGAAUUAUUUUUCCUUUGGAUUUUAUUUUUCCCCAUAUGUAGUCUUAGAGUAAUUUAAAUAUAAUUAAGAAAAGGAAGUUCACAUUCUGGUAACAACUCUUGCAGAUAGUGAUGGUUUGCUGUACAAAAGAAGUGUGAAAAGCCUAAAUAUAUGACAGCAGCCUGUGUGCAUUGUAGAAAUGGCUUUUGUUAGAAUUUCCUUUCAGGAGAUUUCAUCUUCACAUUGAUUUAAUCUUCAGUGUUACGUGAAUGCCAUUUAGACACUGAGACCAUGUAAUGAGCCAAGUACUUCCCAUGCACAGAACUGUGCAGUUAUUACUGACUUUUCACAAUCUUUGAACCAGCAUACUCUGGGCACCACGCAGCCCAUUUAACCUUUGUUUUUUAUUUUAACCUCCUCUUUUUUUCCCGCCCAAGUUAAUCAAGUGUUGAAGUCUUCACUUACUUUUUUCUGAAUUGCUAGGGAAAUUGGAAACAAUUAGGAGCAUAACUAAAGUAGGGGUUAUAUAGAGAAUAUUUUGGGUUUAUUCUAAAUCAGUCUUUGCCCAUUUCCAAAGGAAAGAAAGAGAAUGGAGCAUAAAAGAAUACUUGCCAAUUUAUAUCAAUUUAAUAGAAAAUAAGUCUUGUCACACAGAUAUUAUUACAAUGGGAAGACAUAUUUUGUUCCUCCACAGAUGCAACAAAUUUUUGAAAGGCACUUGUCUUAUCAUAUGCCAUUAUAACAGAAGUGCCAAUUUUCAUUAAAAUUCUUAUGAAGAAUAUUAACACCUGUUUUCUUACCACCUCUUAAAAACGCCAGCUUCCAGCAGCCUGUGCCUGACUUGCACUUACUCCAUAACCCACGGAACAGGCAAAGAAUGGACAUGUUAUAAAGACAGGUGGACAUCAUGGUAAACAAAGAAGACAGCAGAGGAUUCGGGCUCUGUGGCACAGGGAUGGUCUAUAGCGCAUGGAACAGGACAGAAGGUAGCUAAGUGGCCAGAUGAAGGAGUAAAAUGCUGACCAGCUGUAACAUGAGAAGUUUCUGAACUCCUGUGUGGUGGCUAUUGUAUGGAAAAAGUAAAUAUACCUGUGAUUACAUCCUUGCAACUGUAAAGUACCUGUGUUAGAAAUGCUCCAAGCCAUGAACUGUAAGCAUUCUAGUUUAAAUAUUUUUUCUUCUUCUUAGAUGUUUUUGAUUACAUUAUUACUUGUGUGCUGAGCAGGACAAGCUUGAGUACAAAAGCUGUGAUACUCUAAGCUGCAGAUGUGUUGGAUUCUGAGUGGUGCAUCCAAUGACAGGACCUUGAAGUUGUUAUUGUCCUUAAUUAUCGUAGCACUCUUAAAAUUCAGAUAGGCAAGCUGCAGAAGAUUACACCUUUUAGGGGUUAGAAUCUUUGUAAUAUUUUGUUAAAAGUCUUUUACUAUCAGAGCAGCUCUUGGGGAAAUUCAGUAUGAAAUAGGUUAAGCAGAACUACCUUAUAUUGAUGUAGGCCAAGUCAGUUCUCAGUGACAUACUGAUGCAACAUUGAUCUAAAACAGGUUUCCAAAAUGUUGGGCUGUGGUUAUGUUUGCUGAGUACACACAAGACAGGGAGAUCUGGAUCCACCAUCUGGUAAACACAAGUCAUCUAUGCUGGUCUGAAAGUGCCCCAAUUAUGACUGUAAUUAGCUGCUUCGAAUGGGUGCUUGGAAAUGAGACAAGUGUGGUAAGUGAGACAAGAAGAUAUAGCAAGUGCAUUAUUAAGCAAAGCAAUGAGUUAGAGAGCACAUGGUCAUCCCUGAUAGUAGCUGGCAGAUAAUGAAUAGGAAAAUGUGUGAUAUGAUAUAAAGAAAAAAUAAAUACAUAUUAUAAUAGAAGCUGGAAUGCACAGUUGUUGGUCUCAGACUGCUGCAGGGUUUCACCUCUCUGUCUGCAUUUUGAUUUCGAAUUUGCCAUGCUUUUUUGUACCCUUCUAUAAGUGAUUAAUCUUAUAGUCCUAAUUUUAGUCUAUAUUUCAGAAUUCAGACCUGUGGUAAGUGAAAGGAAAAUUCUGGACUAUUCAGUAAGUAGACAAGAGUAGAUAAGAGACCUAUUUAUGAGAGAAAAUGAUCUAGCAACCAGUAACUGACCCAGUAUAUUUUAAUUUGUGCGGGUUUUUUUUGGGUUUGUUUUUUUUUUUUUGUUUUGUUUUUUUUUGUUUGUUUUUUGUUUUGCUAAGUGCAUCCUUCUGGAUAUGGAUAUUAAAAAAAAAAAGGAGAAACAUUAUAUAAAUCACUAAAUCACUGGUGCUCUUGUGUUGUUGUUUAACCCCAGCUGACAGCUAAGCACCACACAGCUGGUCCCUCAAUCCCCGCCCUUGCCAGAAGGAUGGUGGGAAAGAGAAUUGGAAAAGUGAGAAAAUGUCUGGACUGAGAUAAGAAUGGCUUAAUAAUUGAAAUAAAAUAAAAUAAUAAUAUUGAUAAUUUAUAAUGAAAAAGAAUAUAUUUUAAAACGAGAUUAAUAAAACCCUAGAGACAAGUGAUGCAAAUAAAAAACAACAAUGACCAGCACUCAGCCAGCCCCUGAGCAGCAGCCUCCAGCCAAUUUUCCCUCUAGUUUGCAUGCUGAGCAUGACAGCACCUGCUCUGGGAUACCCCGUUGGUCAGCUGGGGUCAGCUGUCCCCACUGUGUCCCCUCCCAGCUCCUUGUGCACCCCCAGCCCCCAGGCAGGUGGGGUGUGGUGAGAGGCAGAAAAGGCCCUGACCUUGUGUAAGCCCUGCUCAGCAGUAACCAAAACAUCCCCAUGAUAUUACAGCACAAAUCCAAAACACAGCCCUGCACCAGCUACUGUGAAGAAAAUUACCUGUACCCCAGCCCAAACCAGAACAUCUUGAUACAAAAUGUUAAAGCACACUUGCAUCCCUUUUCAAGAUACAAAUGUUGGCCACUAAACUGAGACCUCCCGGGACACGCCCACUGGUUUGUACUAUUUAUGAGAUAUGUUUUAUUUAUUUGACCUAAAUAUUCGUGUAUGCCUUUCCAUCACGUAGAAAGAGCGCAGGAGAUAUUACAGCCAGUUUAUUGACAAGCUGCCUGGAACCACUCGUCUAAACCAUAGGAACACUUUGCUAUGCCUUUUUUUUUUUUUCUUUUUCUUUUGAUUCUCUAGCUGCUGUGGUGUAGUUGUGUAUCAGUUCAACAGACUGACUUCUUUGGUCUUUUAUUUCAGUGCUUUGACAUUUCCCUGCCUGUGCACUGUGUAAACCCUGGUUACCAGAGUAAGCCAGGUUUGGAAUACAUUUAUUUUAAAGCAUUUAGGUUCCUCUUUAAGAUUGUAGAUGUAGGAGCGGGCUCAUUAGAAGUGAGUCAAUCUGAAUUGAUUUCAGAAUAAAUACAAAUGUUGAAAACCAGCCAGGUUUGGUAAAGAAAAGGAAGGAAUAUUCCUCAUGUGUUUCUCAGCUAUACCACAGCAUACAAAAACAAUUCCAGCAGAAAUCAGAACUUUGCCUGAAAUUCGUAAUUGAUUACCUUGGUUAUUGUCAAAUCAUUGUAGAAGUGAAAUAAAUAAAAUCACUCACUAAAAAAAACCCAAAACACUUUGGCUGUGACUCAGCUUCCAAAAUGUGGAAUACAUUCAAUACUAGUUUGAAUAGACCUAUGGUUUGGCCACCCUUUUUCUGUCUGUUCUAAACACCUGUUUUCAUUUAGUUGUACAAGAUGGACCACAAUUCUGCACGUAGCUUUACACUCUGAACAGCUCUACUGAAAUCAGCGAUAGCAGUUGACUUUGAACACAACCCACAGUAUCACACUUCAUUUCUUCUGGAAAAGAAAUCUUGGGGGAAAACUACAGUGCAACUAGUCAAACUGAUGAGAAUUUUAUAAGAUGACUGUAACACAUUAAAACUCAACUAUGCUCUUGUGGUUUCAUUCUCUCCUUUCUAUUUGGAUGCUAGCUCAUUGCUCCUGCCCUUGUAUUACUUGAAAGCUGUUAUAUUUCAUGCUGAAGCUCCAGGAAAGAUAUGUGAGAGGGGAAUAUUUCAAGGAAAUAGAAAUAAAGUAAAGAAAAACAAAUAAAAUUAUGUUUGCAAAUGAACAAGAUGGUUCCUUAAAUCGUCAUUUUUAGUUGAUUAGUUGGUACAUAUUAGUCAAGAAAUCCAGACUGGUUUUUGACUGCUUAAUUUUCUAUUCUAGUGGAUUAAAAAGAAAAAGAACAACUAUAUGAUCUAUCUAUGUGUUUGAUGACUUGCUGCAUGCAAUUUUGAGUUGUUUAUAGUGUUCAGCCCUGUCACUAGAUUUACCAUUCUUAUACAUAAUAAGUUUUCAUACAUCAUUGUACCUAUCAAGCAUUUUCAAACAAGCUACUUUGGUCUGCAUCUGUAAUAGGUGUGUUAUAGAAUUAUUGAUAGUUUAAACUAAUCUUGCAGUUUCUGUAUUGCAUCAAAUCCAUCAAAGAAGAUUUUUAGCAAAUACUGAUUUUAUUUUCUUGCGCACUAUCUUAUGUUACUUAAUAGUUAAGAUGUGAGCUUGACUUUUGAGAAAUAUGAAAAAUAAUGUUUUGCUGCAUACUUUCUUUGUUAACAAAGUCCCUAAGCACAGGAACAAAAUUAUUGUCUUGCAUCCUCUAGCCCUCCAGUUUCUCUGUGUAUCUAGUUUAGGGUGAGAUAAUGUCUGAGUGUAAUUUCAGCUGGCUUACUUUAGGAAGGACCAUUCACUCUGAAAGUGAUUGCUUCUCUUUUGCUUUGUGAUGAGAGGAACCCAGGUUAAUAAUUCAGAUUAAGAAACUAAAAAUUCUGUAAGAUGAACCUCAGUGUUUCAGCUCCUCCUCUCUGAAGCAGACAUGGCAGCAUUACCAUGCCUCAGGAAGCUGCCACAAGGAUGCUAAUAAUGCUGAGAUAUUUAUGAAUCAUAAUUGAAGCUUAUACGAAUAUAAAUAUUUAUCUCAUGCAAAAAGGAGAGCUUCCGUCUCCAUUCAAUUGAUACUUCCUUGUCGUUUUGCAUUUGCCAAAUAUAUUUUUGCUUCUAUUUGGUAUUAGAAAGAUUUUGCAUAUAAAAUGUGGGAAAUCUGAAUUUUUACAUACUUUUAUAGGCUUAUUUAAAAGAAAAAAUGUAAUGGUAUGUAUAUUACCAAGACUUCUAAAGAAUGGACAGACCCUUAAACUGUCUUACUGCAUCUUAAAAAAUAAGCAGCAAUCCAUCUUACAGCUGGGAAAAAUUCCUCUAUGAAGGGCCACAGCAAAGAGGAGUUUGAGAAUUUCUAAAUAUGGUGUGGAAGUUUUUCCAUCGACUAUAGAAUUUGAAGGGUAUCUGCAUUCUGGAGUGCCAUUUCCAGCAGUAAAUGUAGUGAAACAUGGACAACUUGAAUGAAUCAUGAUGAUCUCAUGUCACCUCACAAAAACAAUAGGAAGCUGCAUAAUCAAAAAGUGUGUUAAGCUGAAGAGAGGCACUUCAGAAAACUUCUCUAAGUUAAUCUGACCUUUUUUUUUUCUUUGUGGUAACAGGCUGCAUGGAAGAUGACUCAAUGAAAUGUCCCAGUAUGAGUCAUUAUAGCCAGAGAAAGACAACAAAGCAUGAAGUGGCACAUUGGAUGGUGACCUGUCAAGUCUCUCUGAUGGGCAGUGUUGCUGUUCCAUGUAACAAUCUCCGUGUUUAAGUAGGAGUGGAUCUCUGGUGAAGCUGGGCUAUCUGAUGCUGAUUCCUUCUCCAAGUGGAUAGUACAGGCUAUGUGUGUGUAUGGGGUGAACAUUGGUGUGGUGUGCUUCAGGCUGAGUGCACUCCUGCAUUUGCUACAGCAUUCCUGGUGCUAUGUCACUUAGUGUUAUGUCACUCAUCACUCUUUUUUUUUGUUCUUAUUGCAGCUCAACAACUGGUAAGUUCAGAAUUAAUGUGCAGCAGUAACUCCCCAUGGAGCAGAUAUUUAAGGCCAGUAUUUCAAUAUCAGAAUCCCAUAGGCACAAAUUAAAACCACUCUCCUUGCAAGAUUUACAGCUCUCCUUCUGAUUAGCAAGACCCAGGCAUUGUUUCCCGAAAUGUCAGUUUUGCUGCAGCUCAGUAAUGGAUGUGACACUAAUUGAAGAAAGCAGAGGAGACAAAAACAUUGCUGUUGUAACUCAGGCAGAGCUGCAGGGAGAUACGUAUUUGACUCUAGUGUUGCACUUUGGAUACCUGCACAGAGCAAUACUUGCAUCUGUGCCAGUAGUUUGUAGAACAGGUUACUUCUAUUUUGUGGUACUUUCUUUUGUAUUAGGUACCUAUUGGCAGUGCAGAGGCAUUUAGUUUUUUUCCCCAUGGAGUAGGCUGUGUGCUGGGAAAGCACAUUUUAUUUCAUGUGCAUUUUCCUAUCGAGCAAUCUGCUUGUCUGUCUUUACAAUGAGAAUGAAAGAAGUCUGAAAAGCUUGAGUGAGAGCCAUGUGAAAAGUAACAGAAAUCUCUGAUACAAACGGGAUGGAAUACAUGAGAAAGAGGGUGUCAAAAGUCUGUAUGUCCUCACUAAUUAAGAGGAAAUGGUCUGUACUUCAUGAAAGGAGCAUUCUAUUUCUGUAUAACUGGCUACAGACUUUUUGAAACAACCAAGACUUGGAGAGAAGGCCCUGACCCUCUCAGAUUCUCUUGGUCUGUAGCACUGACCUGACAGCUGGAGCUGUCAAGAUGUAAACUGAACUUCCAAAAGUGCCAGUAGCUCUGUAUGAAAAAUGUAAACAUGGAUCACAAAAUUGCUGUAAGGGAGAAUUCAGCCCAUCCUUGGAGUCUGGAGGCCCUUUGGUUUAUUCCCUCUUUAUAUAAUUUUGAACAGGUUCCUGAUGACGUGCUGCCUUAGAUAUCAAACCCAGAAACCAAGAAGUAUUUUUUUUAGUUUAAGGUUGUUGGGAUUCAGUGCCUUUGAUAGGUAUAUACAAAGUGCAUGGAUGGGGAGAUUAAAUGUAGCAGUUUGUUAUUUUCCUGAUCAUGAGUCUUUUGUAGGAUACAUUCUUGAGCUGGUAAGGGAGUAGGUAACUAGGAUUUACUUGGCUGUGACAACAGCCAGUGCUCAGUGAAAUGCUUGGAUGGACACAGGUUCUAGAAGCUGCUGUGUUUUCCUCAUUAGCCUUUUUCAACCCCUCUUCAAACAGUCAGAUUGCUGUGGAAUUAAGGUCAAAGUUAAAAGAAAUGGUUAGUUCCUCCAUAAAUCAAAGAUGUCCAGACACAGGGAAGGAGAAAUUCCUCCCUGCAAAUGUAGCAUGGGAGUAUAAAACAAAGAAAAUAUGCAUAGCUUAAGCUCUUUUAGGUAAAAGAGGAGGGUUACAAAUACUCCACUUGCAUACUGACACAUUGGCUGUGUGAUGAGUGUGCAUUCUCCAUCUCUCUUGACUGGGAGAGAUGGAGAAAGACAGGUUAUGCAGACAUAUUUCAAUACAUAUCUGUGCAAGCAUAAACCAUGUGCGCCAUGCAAGGGAUAGUCUUCUGCUUUCUAGAGAAGGAACUAAAGCCUCCAAAGAAAAAUUCUUUGCACACCUAAGUCCUCACUGUCCCAGGGUCCUGCUUUCAGCAAGUAGCUGACCUGGGUUCCCUGUAAAGAAAUUGCAGAGUUAAAUAUUUUGUUCACUUCAACAUUACUGCAGUGUUUUUCAGAUGUCUUCUGGCUGGUGUCAUGACUGGCUGUCACAGCAUGCUUAUUACAGCAUUGCAGGGAGCUGUUGCCACUACAGAGCAAAAGCAAGCCUGUCUGCUGUUCCCUACCAUGAGGUCAGUGCUUUACCUCUCAGUGCAGGAAAGACAGACAGUGUCUGUCUGUAAUGGUAGAAAUGGUUAAUUGUACUAUUAAUAAAAAUUGUAAAUACUUAAAAUGCUGGAAGAGUGACCUUUGUUUCCUUUAGGUAAAUGUGUUCAGCUGGUUCAGGUGAAAAUUGUACUGAGCCAGGGUCCUAUUAUUAUCCCACUACUGCUAGCUUAAUUAAUAACUCAGCACUGGCAAGUAUAAUUUUGUGCUGCUUACUAUACAGGGAUGCAGCACAGGGCUUACCAGUGAAGACAGUGGAAGGUAUAACAGAUGGAUGGGGGAAAAAACACUCCAAACCAGAUGAGCUGGAGAACAGGUGGUAUGUGUGAGAAGGGAGGAGAUGACAGUGCAGCAGGUUUUUAUAAACCUGAUCAUUAGUUUGGGUCAUGUGUCUGUUUACUAGGUAUGCUCAGCUAGAAUACAUAAUAGAGCUCAGUCUGGAGGCAUUUAAGGCCACAGUGGCUUGGUGAGGGAGGAACAUAUGAAAAGCAGAAUGUGAGAAAGUUCUGACAGGAGGGGGAAUUAAGCUUUUGAGCAGAUUUUAUCCUGCAAAUUCUUGAGAUGUAUUAGGGUAGCAGUGAAAGUAAUCUUUGGUUUUGCUGAACAGAGAAGCUGCCCUCACUCACUGAGUUGGUGAGUUGGCCUCUUGGAUCUUUUUUUAUUGUUUUAUUGGUUUUUUAUUGUUACUUGAUGACCCAGCUGGCAGCUUUUAGUCUUCUCUUUCAAUGUUUAAUUAAUUACAUAUGUUUCCCAUGGAGAUUCAUUACACAGCUUGACUCUGAGUUGCUUUUCUUCAGUCCUGUCUUCCGCACAGUUAGUGUUUAUAUGGCUUUUCCUCAUAGUAAUGUGUUCUGAAGCAAAAUAUAUCUAUGUUCUUUUAACUAAAGCAGCCCACAAGACAGAGUGGUACAUAGCAAAGGUAAAAAGGGAAAAGUGAUGAGAAAAGGAGUUUAUGAAAAAAUGUAAUAUCCUUCUCUUAUAUCCAGAAGAAUUGUUCCUCUUUUGUUUAAGCAACCAAGUGAAACUUCUUGAGGGGUAAGAAACAAACGAUUCCCAGCAUAAAUGAACUGUGAAUUAUUUUUGCAAAUAAAUUUUUUUAUCUAUACCAUAUCUGAUCCUCCCACUGGUGGGAGCAGAAUGUAAGAGCCUGUAAACCAGAAACCAACCAGUUCAACUGAGUGUUUAUCGUCUGUUUUUUUCGGAUUACACUUGUAGUUUGUUUAGCCAUUCUCUAACAGUAAAAGGAAAAUGUGAGAAUUUUGCUGAU